CCAACAGGGAUUGCCUUAGUAACGGCGAGUGAAGCGGCAACAGCUCAAAUUUGAAAUCUGGCCCUCGGGUCCGAAUUGUAAUUUGUAGAGGAUGAUUUUGGUGCGGUAUCUUCCGAGUUCCUUGGAACAGGACGCCUUAGAGGGUGAGAGCCCCGUACGGUUGAAUGCCUAGCCUCUGUAAAUCUCCUUCGACGAGUCGAGUAGUUUGGGAAUGCUGCUCUAAAUGGGAGGUAAAUUUCUUCUAAAGCUAAAUAUUGGCCAGAGACCGAUAGCGCACAAGUAGAGUGAUCGAAAGAUGAAAAGCACUUUGAAAAGAGGGUUAAAUAGCACGUGAAAUUGUUGAAAGGGAAGGAUUUGUGACCAGACUUUUUCUGGGCGGAUCAUCCGGGGUUCUCUCCGGUGCACUUUGCCCAGUAAAGGCCAGCAUCGAUUUUCGGCGGCGGAUAAAAGCAGUGGGAAUGUGGCUCCCUACGGGGAGUGUUAUAGCCCAUUGUAUAAUACGCUGCUGGGGAUCGAGGUACGCGCUUCUGCAAGGAUGCUGGCGUAAUGGUUAUCAAUCACCCGUCUUGAAACACGGACCAAGGAGUCGAACAUUUAUGCGAGUGUUUGGGUGUUAAACCCUCACGCGUAAUGAAAGUGAACGGAGGUGAGAGCCCGUACGGGUGCAUCAUCGACCGAUCCUGAAGUUUUCGGAUGGAUUUGAGUAAGAGCAUAACUGUUCGGACCCGAAAGAUGGUGAACUAUGCGUGGAUAGGGUGAAGCCAGAGGAAACUCUGGUGGAGGCUCGCAGCGGUUCUGACGUGCAAAUCGAUCGUCAAAUCUGCGCAUGGGGGCGAAAGACUAAUCGAA
rnacentral:rRNA from 1 species